GCCAUAUCUCUGGUGAUCCCUGAGAAGUUCCAGCACAUUUUGUGAGUACUCAACACCAACAUCAAUGGGUGGCAGGAAAUAGCCUUUGCCAUCACCGCUAUUAAGGAGGUGGGUCGAAGAUGUGUUCAUGUAGUGUUGAGGAAAGCAGCCAUGGACCUCACCAAGAGGGCAGGAGAACUCACAGAAGAUGAGGUGGAACGUGUGAUCACCAUUAUGCAGAAUCCGUGCCAGUAUAAGAUCCCAGACUGGUUUUUAAACAGACAGAAGGACUUAAAGGAUGGAAAAUACAGCCAGGUCCUGGCCAAUGGCCUGGACAACAAGCCCCAGGAAGACUUGGAGCCCCUAAAGGAGAUUCGGGCCCAUAGAGGGCUGUGCCACUUCUGGGACCUUCGUGUCUGAGGCCAGCACACCAAGACAACUGGCCGCCGAGGCGUAUCGUGGGUAUGUCCAAGAAGAAGUAA